rnacentral:rRNA from 1 species
UACGUUCCCGGGUCUUGUACACACCGCCCGUCACACCACGAAAGUUGGCAAUACCCGAAGUCGGUGUCCUAACCGUAAGGAGGGAGCCGCCGAAGGUAGGGUCGAUGAUUGGGGUG